UGCAGUCGACGAGAAGCACCUUCGGGUGCGAGUAAAGUGGCGAACGGGUGAGUAACACGUGGGUAACCUACCUUUGAGUGGGGAACAACCCCUCUAACGAGGGGCUAAUACCGCAUAAUGCAGCGGCUCCGCAUGGAGACAGUUGUUAAAGGGGCAGCUUCGGUUGUCUCGCUUGAAGAUGGACCCGCGGUCCAUUAGCUUGUUGGUGAGGUAACGGCUCACCAAGGCAACGAUGGAUAGCCGGCCUGAGAGGGUGUACGGCCACACUGGAACUGAGAAAGGUCCAGUCCCCUACGGGGGCCAGCAGUCUAGAAAUUUGCGCAAUGGGCGAAAGCCUGACGCAGCGACGCCACGUGGAGGAUGAAGCCCUUAGGGGUGUAAACUCCUGUCAGAAGGGAAGAAUGCAGGAAAUAACUUUUUCUGUUUGACGGGACCUUCAGAGGAAGCCCCGGCUAACUUCGUGCCAGCAGCCGCGGUAAUACGAAGGGGGCAAGCGUUGUUCGGAUUUACUGGGCGUAAAGGGCGUGCAGGCGGACCGAUAAGUCGUCUGUGAAAUCUGUCGGCUCAACCAACAACUUGCAGUCGAAACUAUCGGUCUUGAGUACAGGAGAGGAGAGCGGAAUCUCAGGUGUAGCGGUGAAAUGCGUAGAUAUCUGGGAGAACACCGGUGGCGAAGCGGCUCUCUGGCUGAUACUGACGCUGAGGCGCGAAAGCUAGGGGAGCGAACGGGAUUAGAUACCCCGGUAGUCCUAGCUGUAAACGAUGGGUACUAGUGUUGGAGGUAUUGACCCCUCCAGUGCCGCAGCUAACGCAUUAAGUACCCCGCCUGGGGG
rnacentral:rRNA from 1 species